UUUUUUUUUUUUUUUAAUAAUAAGUAUGUGCAUUUUUAUAGGGAGAUAAAUUGACAAUUUAUUGUGUAUAACUUCUGAUCAAUUAUUAAUCGUUAGUGUCAACAACAGGGUUAUAAUUACCUUCGCUUAUUUAAAGGAAUAUUUAUUUUUUCGUCUCUCUGAUCUGGUAAUUAGUUAAUGCUCUGGAGUAAUGAAUUCAAAGCUGAUUUGAUAAUGAUUGAGACAGUUUUUUCCCCUCUCUUUUGGCAGCCCCUAUGGCGGGGGGGGUCGCGUGUCUUCCCCCCCCCCCCCCCCCCCCCUCUUUCCCGUUUGCAGAAGAGUCCACGCGAAGGCAAAUCGCGGUGCCGUUCACUUUUCAGACCAUAAAUAACGAUUCUGGGAGGAAAAGGGCGAAAUGACAAACAAAUAGAGCGCAGCUGGGAUGAAUAAGGCCGAUCAAAGUUAGAGGGGGCCGGCGCUCCUCGCAGCCGCAGUAGGUCUAAGUCCCAUAAAGGUGCCAGCAACCCUUACCUCUCUCCCUGAGAUCAAGGGAGAGAGCGAGCGGGGCAUUUUAACCCCCUGACAUCUUCUCGCGAGUGGAGGAGGGAAGAAAAAAAGGGGGGGGGGGGGGGGGGGGGGAAGAGGCUGAGGAAAGCAGGGGGAUGUGUUUAGGGGAGUUAUCAGUGCUUUCACGCUCACCUAGACAAGGGAAUGGGGUGGGGGGACCCAUCUGGAGCCCACGCAGCCUCAAGCGUAGGAUGCGCGGGGCUCGCUGCGCUCCUUGGAGCGGGAGAAGCAUAUCGUUGCGCGCUUAAACGCUCAGCCCUUGGGAUAGGGAAGCGAGAAAUUAUAAUUCUUUUCUUUUUCUUUUCUUUCUUUUCCCUCCUUGCGGGAGCUCCAUUACGAUGGGCAGCCCGCAGGGACCGCGGCUGUGCCUGGCUCCCAGGUACAGGGCGUGGGUAACCCCUCCCUCGGGCCUGGGAACCGGCAGCCAAGGGCGAGUGCCCCCCCCCCCCCCCCCCGACCACCUCUCCCGACACGCGUGGGAUGCUGAGCCGAGGAAGGAGCUGCACCUCUCCCCUGCCUGCCCCCUCGCUUCGCUUUCCAGGCUUCCACCUAACGCAGACGAGGUCUCGGAGCCAAAGAGCGCUUUUCGUUUUUAGAGCGGCGAGGCUCAUUUCGCGGCAGACCUGAGUGAAGUGGAGUGUGUGUAUCUAAUAUAUAUAAUAGGUGUAAGCUGUACAUAUAAAAUCUUUCCCCCGUGCAACAAAAAGUGCAGUGGGAAUUGUAGCGCGAGAUGCGAGUUCUACAAUUAAUUCAUCCUGACAGGUUUGACAUCGCCCGGCUCCCUUUUUCCUGCAACUCUGUCCGCAAAUGAAUGCCGCUUCCAGAGUGUAUGUUUUAAUUUGUCACAUCAAGGCAAUAAAAGGCAGCAAUAUAUACUUAAGCCAGUUAACAUUGUAAUAACAGGUUUAAAGGAGCAAUUAAAUGGUAGUGAGUCGCAUGUCUGACUUUCUAUAGGCAUUACCACAUCAAUGGUACCUUUUAGACUGGCUAUAACUUAGCAUGAUUGUCUCAAUUAGUUUAGCUACAUGAUAGUUAUUGUGAACUCUUUGUGAGUAAUCAAUGUUACGCAAGCUUAUGGGAAGGAGUCCGUAAUAGGUGUGAGCACCCGCUAACUAACGGGGACCUCUCAUUUCCAAAAAAACACCUUUCUCUUUUCGACCCCCCCGCCCCUUCAUUUCCUUCCCCCCAGCCCUAAAGAUAGAAACGGUUAAUUUGAAGUCUUAUGAAUCUGCUUCCGCGAUCGGUGUUGCCGAACGCAGAUUUAUAGGCAUAUAACUACUUCUGCCGAGGCCGAUAAACGACGCAGUCCCUUCGGUCCAGUGAGGGACCCCUGCUACAUCUCUCAUUUCUUUAAGUGUCUUUCGUCCCAGCCGCAAAUAGCCCCGAGGGACGCUUACACGCAGUGAUUUGUGUGGGUACAGCCCUAGCGGGCUCCCGGGUUCACCUCGUUGACAUCGGAGAGAGCGCGGAGCCCCGCGAGCGCGUGUAAACCCCAACCGGGGUGCGGGGGGAGAGUGGCGGGGCCGCAAAGCCGGGAUGGGAAUGAGGAGUAACGCGGGGAGAGAGGUCCUUGUCGGAGCCGCCGGCCGCUUAGGAACUUGGAUAAUUCAUCUCCACCUCCGGACUCCUUCAUUAAGUACCGAGCCGCGGGUGGCUGAUGCAAAAGAGAGGUCUGCAAAUUUGGCGAGGCUUGUGUGAGCUGCUUCAAAACACGACCAAGUUUGUAAUGUUUUCUGUCAAGAAAGAAAAAAAAAAAAAAAAAAAGAAAAGAAAAGAAAGAAAGGAAAAAAGAGAGAGCGAGGGAGCGUGUACCGUUAAAAUUGAAGAUAAACAUGACACAGGGAAAUUUCUGUUGGUGAAGUUAUUCUCAUUAGUCCUAACAGUGUCUCACCAUUAGACAGGGCUGGAGUCAACCUCAGUCUCAGGAUUGCAGAUCUGCAAGCGCUUUUUUUUUUUUUUUUUUUUUUUUUUUUUUGCAUGUACAUUACAUUUCUGUCAUGCUUUGCAGCAUAACACGAUAUCCCCAAAGAACCCAAAAAAGAAAAAAAAAA
ensembl:lncRNA